rnacentral:rRNA from 1 species
CCUACGGGGGGCAGCAGUGGGGAAUAUUGGACAAUGGGGGCAACCCUGAUCCAGCCAUGCCGCGUGUGUGAAGAAGGCCCUCGGGUUGUAAAGCACUUUCAGUGAGGAAGAACGCCUGGUGGUUAAUACCCAGCAGGAAAGACAUCACUCACAGAAGAAGCACCGGCUAACUCCGUGCCAGCAGCCGCGGUAAUACGGAGGGUGCGAGCGUUAAUCGGAAUUACUGGGCGUAACGCGCGCGUAGGUGGCUUGAUAAGCCGGUUGUGAAAGCCCCGGGCUCAACCUGGGAACGGCAUCCGGAACUGUCAAGCUAGAGUGCAGGAGAGGAAGGUAGAAUUCCCGGUGUAGCGGUGAAAUGCGUAGAGAUCGGGAGGAAUACCAGUGGCGAAGGCGGCCUUCUGGACUGACACUGACACUGAGGUGCGAAAGCGUGGGUAGCAAACAGGAUUAGAUACCCUGGUAGUC